rnacentral:lncRNA from 1 species
UUUAGGAGCUCUUUAAAAAAGGAACUUUCGCGCGACAAGAGAGUAUUUUCGUCGCUCGAAAAAAUGCGGGAAUUUUUUUUUUUUUUUUUUUGCGCCAAAAUGGUGCGACCAGUGGACGUUUUCGUCGCGUAAAAUUAGAUGUCGGCAACUUCUUGUGCAACGGGAUGUAGACUUUGCACGACGCGAUUUCGCAUUUGCGCGAUGAAACUUGAUGCGACGAAAAUAUUUUCGUCGUCGCGUUAAAGUUGGAUGUCGGCACGUACUUGCAUGACGAAAAUGUGGAAUUGCGCGACGAAAGUGAAAGUUUUGCACGACGAAAUUUGUGCUUGGCGUGACGAAUUCUCGCGCGACGAAGUACCUCUUCGUCACACAAAAGUUAGUCGUCUUCAAAUCUGAUUUACGCCAUGACAGAGGCAGAAAAUUAAGAAUUUCUGCCUCUGGUGCUGCCGCUCCCGCUGCUGCUUAUCCUAGAAAUUUACUACAUUCAGUAGGUAAGUAUAUUUUGUCGUUAGUUUGAAAGUAUUCAUGUAAAUUCAUACUAAUGCUAUUAAUUUCGUUCUCUGUAGGGAUAUUUUGUGUGAUUAGCGGUUGGUGGAGAACGAUUGAGAAGG